rnacentral:rRNA from 1 species
UACGGAGGGAGCUAGCGUUAUUCGGAAUUACUGGGCGUAAAGCGCACGUAGGCGGCUUUGUAAGUAAGAGGUGAAAGCCCAGAGCUCAACUCUGGAAUUGCCUUUUAGACUGCAUCGCUUGAAUCAUGGAGAGGUCAGUGGAAUUCCGAGUGUAGAGGUGAAAUUCGUAGAUAUUCGGAAGAACACCAGUGGCGAAGGCGGCUGACUGGACAUGUAUUGACGCUGAGGUGCGAAAGCCAGGGGAGCGAACGGG